rnacentral:rRNA from 1 species
UACGGAGGAUCCAAGCGUUAUCCGGAUUCAUUGGGUUUAAAGGGUGCGUAGGCGGAAGAGUAAGUCAGUGGUGAAAGCCUGCAGCUUAACUGCAGAAUUGCCAUUGAUACUGCUCAUCUUGAGUACAUUUGAUGUGGGCGGAAUGUGUCAUGUAGCGGUGAAAUGCAUAGAUAUGACACAGAACACCGAUUGCGAAGGCAGCUCACAAAACUGUAACUGACGCUGAGGCACGAAAGCCGUGGGGAUCGAACAGG